CCUUUUAGGGAGACCUACCUACUCAGAUUCUGAAAGCACAAUGCAAAUAAGGAUUGAGUUGGUCAUCCCAAGGUCGUUCGAGGUAUGAGUGUAAGGCUUUCAAACUAUUAAAGGUUCGGUUAUGGGCUAUUAGCUCAGGUGGUUAGAGCGCACCCCUGAUAAGGGUGAGGUCCCUGGUUCGAGUCCAGGAUGGCCCACCUUAGCAAUUGCAUGGGGGUUUAGCUCAGUUGGUAGAGCGCCUGCUUUGCAAGCAGGAUGUCAGCGGUUCGAGUCCGCUAACCUCCACUGGAGUUAAUAGAACAAGAGUUAGGAAGAUUCAGCAACUUAUCUAGGUUUUGCUAGAGAGCCUGCUGGAUUCGUCCAGUCAGAACCAUGAAAACUGCAUAGCGAAAUAAGAUUUCUGUCAGGUAGUAGAAGUUCAUCUGAUUUAGGUUAGAUGAAUCAUCACAGACACCAAUGAAUUUUGU
rnacentral:tRNA from 1 species